rnacentral:rRNA from 1 species
AUAAUGGGUCAGCGACUUAUAUUCUGUAGCAAGGUUAACCGAAUAGGGGAGCCGAAGGGAAACCGAGUCUUAACUGGGCGUUAAGUUGCAGGGUAUAGACCCGAAACCCGGUGAUCUAGCCAUGGGCAGGUUGAAGGUUGGGUAACACUAACUGGAGGACCGAACCGACUAAUGUUGAAAAAUUAGCGGAUGACUUGUGGCUGGGGGUGAAAGGCCAAUCAAACCGGGAGAUAGCUGGUUCUCCCCGAAAGCUAUUUAGGUAGCGCCUCGUGAAUUCAUCUCCGGGGGUAGAGCACUGUUUCGGCAAGGGGGUCAUCCCGACUUACCAACCCGAUGCAAACUGCGAAUACCGGAGAAUGUUAUCACGGGAGACACACGGCGGGUGCUAACGUCCGUCGUGAAGAGGGAAACAACCCAGACCGCCAGCUAAGGUCCCAAAGUCAUGGUUAAGUGGGAAACGAUGUGGGAAGGCCCAGACAGCCAGGAUGUUGGCUUAGAAGCAGCCAUCAUUUAAAGAAAGCGUAAUAGCUCACUGGUCGAGUCGGCCUGCGCGGAAGAUGUAACGGGGCUAAACCAUGCACCGAAGCUGCGGCAGCGACGCUUAUGCGUUGU